rnacentral:rRNA from 1 species
AUGAGUAUACUAAGUUGGAACUGCCGGGGAGGGGGGAAUUCCCGGACAGUUCGUGAUCUCGCGAUGAUUUGCCAGUCGCAUUCCCCCAAUUUGGUUUUUCUGUGUGAAACUAGGCAAAAGGCGGAAAAGAUGAGGAGGAUUCGUGGGCGUCUCGGCCUCAAGGGUUUUUGUGGUGUAGAUAGUGAAGGAAUGAGUGGUGGGUUGGCUCUGUACUGGCAUGAGGCGUAUGUAGUGGAGAUUCUUGACAAAACAGGACGAUAUAUCGAUGCUCUUGUACAGGUAGAUCAGAAUGUAGAAAAAUGGAGGGUCACUUUCGUAUAUGGAGAGCCAAGAGUUGAGAAUAGACAUCUUAUGUGGACAACAUUACAGAGCCUUAAAACCGAGAGUGACUUACCUUGGUUAGUGCUGGGUGAUUUUAAUGAGGCGAUGUGGGAUUUUGAACACAUGUCGGCAACUCCGAGAGCUGAAUCUCAAAUGGUGGCGUUUCGGGACUGUUUGGAAGUAUGUGGUCUGGUGGAUCUCGGAUUUGUAGGGGUGCCUUUCACCUACGACAACAAACGAGCUGCCGCAAAUAAUGUUCGGGUUCGUCUUGACUGA